rnacentral:rRNA from 1 species
CCUACGGGUGGCAGCAGUGGGGAAUAUUGGGCAAUGGGCGCAAGCCUGACCCAGCAACGCCGCGUGAAGGAAGAAGGCUUUCGGGUUGUAAACUUCUUUUAAGAGGGAAGAGCAGAAGACGGUACCUCUUGAAUAAGCCACGGCUAACUACGUGCGAGCAGCCGCGGUAAUACGUAGGUGGCAAGCGUUGUCCGGAUUUACGGGGUGUAAAGGGCGUGCAGCCGGGAGGACGAGUCAGAUGUGAAAUCCCGGGGCUCAACCCGGGAACUGCAUAUGAAACUGUUGUGUUAGAGUACGGGAGAGGGCGGGAGAAUUCCAUGGGUAGCGGUGAAAGGCGUAGAGAUGGGGAGGAACAACGGGGGAGAAGGCGGACACAGGGACAAAGAAUGACGGGGAGGCGCGAAAGCGUGGGGAGCAAACAGGAUUAGAUACCCUUGUAGUC